GGUAUUAAUAAGGCACACAGGAUACAGAAUACGCUCCAUCCGCACAGCACCCGUAAGCGAGUUACAUCACAAUAUGGCAGAUUAAAUGACAGAAUCAACAGGAAAAUCAAUGUUGCUUUACCACAGGGACACAAGCAGCUGCUGUUUUUAUUUCUUUCUGCUCCUCUGUGGCCAUUUGAAAUUGAGGGACAGUUUCAGGCAUUUCAUCAAAAUCUGCUGGUAUCUCUCUCAGAGGCUUUCGCUUGAAGACCCAGGCACACGUCUAGAGAUAGAGCAGCAAGGGAGCGCAGACUGUCUCAGAGAAACUGAGCAUCAUGCAAACGAGGGAUAGUGAUACCGCCAUCUUCGCACUAACAGGGAAAGUGAUUCCGAGAUCUCUAAAAAAACAGGAUUAGUGAUACUGCGAUCUUCACACUAACAGGGUAAGUGAUACAGAGUUCUCUACAAAAACGGGGUUAGUGAUACCAUGAUCCUCACACUAACGAGGUGAGUGAUACCGACAUCUCUACAAAUACGGGGUUAGUGAUACCGUGAUCUUCACACUAACGAGGUGAGUGAUACCGACAUCUCUACAAAUACGGGGUUAGUGAUACCGUGAUCUUCACACUAACGAGGUGAGUGAUACCGACAUCUCUACAAAUACGGGGUUAGUGAUACCGUGAUCUUCACACUAACGAGGUGAGUGAUACCGACAUCUCUACAAAUACGGGGUUAGUGAUACCGUGAUCUUCACACUAACGAGGUGAGUGAUACCGACAUCUCUACAAAUACGGGGUUAGUGAUACCGUGAUCUUCACACUAACGAGGUGAGUGAUACCGACAUCUCUACAAAUACGGGAUUAGUGAUACCGUGAUCUUCACACUAACGAGGUGAGUGAUACCGACAUCUCUACAAAUACGGGGUUAGUGAUACCGUGAUCUUCACACUGACAGAGAAAGUGAUACUGAGAUCACUGCAAAUAUGGAGGUAGUGAUACCACAAUCUUCACAGUAACAGGGUGAUACCGACAUCUUUACAAAUACGGGAUUCGCGAUACUGCAAUCUUCAUACUAACAGAGAAAGUGAUACUCACAUCUCUACAAAUACGGAGGUAGUGAUACCGCGAUCUUCACACUAACAGGGUAAGUGAUACCACAAUCUUCUCGCAAACAAGGUUUGUGAUUCUGAGAUCUUUACGCAAACAAGGUUAAUGAUACCACGAUCUUCAUGCAAAAGUGGUUAGUGAUACAGGGAUCUCCAAGCAAAGGGGAUUAGUAUUACUCUGAUCUUCAUACAAAUGGAGUCAGUGACAACACCAUCUACACAUAUGUGGGGUUAGUGGUAUUGUGAUCUUCACACAAAUGGGAUUAGUGAUUCUGUGUUCUUCAUGCAAAAGAAGUUAGUGAUACCGGGAUAUUCAUGCAAACAGGGUUAAUCAUUC